rnacentral:lncRNA from 1 species
GGGUGUAGCCCUCCCCCCUUAAAAAAAGAAAAUUGCUCUAUUCUAUGCACUUAAAAAUUAUUAAUAGAUCUUCUAUUCUUAAGAAAUAAAGGCCGUUUUUUUAUGUGCACGGUCAAGAGCUUCGUCGUCGCACGCUAAAGACCUUAGUUCGAUUCCCGUACGGGGAUAAACUUUUACUGACAACCUCCGUCUUCCUGCAGGGGCGUUGUCCUCUCUCAGCCCAGAUUGGCACUGACAUUGGAUUGAAGUAGCCCGUCUCCUAAAUGUUCUAAAAAAUGUCAUUUGGGAGUGUAAAAUAUCUACAAUACAUACGAUACAAAAGCUAAUCACAACAACCAAAGGAGUUUUCCAUUCUAAGAUAAUCUAAGUCUACUUAUCGGAAAGUUAAAAAUAGCUUCGGCUAUAAUAUAGCCCUCUACUCUCUACGUCUAGCACCAAAACAAGCACAGCCUCUCCUUUCCUCCCUGGUUCAGAGUUCACACUGCGAGCGGUCUUACUGCUCGCUGCUGGGCUAGUGGCCUGCCCGGCGACGAGCAAGUCAUGGGACGCAAAGCAAGUCAUGGGGCACAAAGCAAGUCAUGGGGCAACAUGGCGUCCCGUCCUGUGUCCAGCUUGGUGCUGUCUGCUAUUUGUGAUGAUCGAAGAUGCUACUUGCAUAGCCCAGGGUUCGGAUUGGGGUACAACUGCAAGAAAGAAAUGGGCAAUGCUGAGGGAUUCUUUCCGGAGGCAACAUAAGAAAGAAACAACUUAUAAAUCUGGAUCAGGGGGUAAAUACCAGAAACCGUGGUACCUGUACAAAGCCAUGCUGUUUUUAAUUCCUUUUGUUGAGGAUGGAAAUACCUCAACAACCAAUUUGAUUGAAGGGCCGGAAGAUGAGCAGGAACUCCAACAAGCAUCCCAGCUUCGGGAGGACAACGUGGAGACAAUAGUCAACACUGAUGUGUUUUCACGGGGUGGAAGUCCAUUCACAAAUCCACAACCUGGUCCAAGCCAUACUCCAGAUAUUACAAACUCAUCUGCUACUCCCAAACGGCAUGCCAGGAAAAGACCGUAUCCCCCGUAUCCCCAAGACCGAGGAUCUAGAUCUACCUCUCCAUCCGCUUUCUACAAUCCCUUAAAGGGUUGCAACAACAACAGACACAAAAACCACCCCAGGACGAUGACGAACAGUUCCUGUUGAGUUUGUUACCGGUGAUGAAAGGGCUGGACCCAAUCUCUAAAUUUGAGUUCCGUGGAGAGCUCAACAAUACAGCUCUAAGAUAUCUGCGGCGUUCGAGACAGCCAUCACCACAGUGUGAAAGCAACGAUGCAUUAUCCAACCCCAUCACCCGCAUCUUCUUCAGCUUUUGCCGAUAACAACACGUACCAAUACAACCAGUAUGUCCCAGCAACUGCAGGCUCACAAGUUGAUCCAAUGUCCUCCCCACCAGGCGACCCAUACCAGUAUCACCAGAACCAGCAAUACAAAUAAAUUACAGCAAGUUUUUUCCAUUGCA